GAGGAGCUUGCUCUUCUUGGAUGAGUUGCGAACGGGUGAGUAACGCGUAGGUAACCUGCCUUGUAGCGGGGGAUAACUAUUGGAAACGAUAGCUAAUACCGCAUAACAAUGGGUGACGCAUGUCAUUUAUUUGAAAGGGGCAAUUGCUCCACUACAAGAUGGACCUGCGUUGUAUUAGCUAGUAGGUGAGGUAACGGCUCACCUAGGCGACGAUACAUAGCCGACCUGAGAGGGUGAUCGGCCACACUGGGACUGAGACACGGCCCAGACUCCUACGGGAGGCAGCAGUAGGGAAUCUUCGGCAAUGGGGGCAACCCUGACCGAGCAACGCCGCGUGAGUGAAGAAGGUUUUCGGAUCGUAAAGCUCUGUUGUAAGUCAAGAACGAGUGUGAGAGUGGAAAGUUCACACUGUGACGGUAGCUUACCAGAAAGGGACGGCUAACUACGUGCCAGCAGCCGCGGUAAUACGUAGGUCCCGAGCGUUGUCCGGAUUUAUUGGGCGUAAAGCGAGCGCAGGCGGUUUGAUAAGUCUGAAGUUAAAGGCUGUGGCUCAACCAUAGUUCGCUUUGGAAACUGUCAAACUUGAGUGCAGAAGGGGAGAGUGGAAUUCCAUGUGUAGCGGUGAAAUGCGUAGAUAUAUGGAGGAACACCGGUGGCGAAAGCGGCUCUCUGGUCUGUAACUGACGCUGAGGCUCGAAAGCGUGGGGAGCGAACAGGAUUAGAUACCCUGGUAGUCCACGCCGUAAACG
rnacentral:rRNA from 1 species